rfam:Glycine soja cultivar W05 scaffold167_25, whole genome shotgun sequence.
UUUUUAUUGGACGUUGACCACCACAUGUUGCCUUUUUAUUAGACGUUAAUUUCGUGCACCUAAUUAACGUCCACGUUCAAUAAAAGUGUGACAUGUGACAGUUAACAUCC